rnacentral:lncRNA from 1 species
UUUUAUUAAAGUUUAUUUUAUUUUGUUUCUACUUAUAUAUUUUAAUAAAGUUUAUAUUAUUUUGUUUCUAAUUACUUAUUUAUUUAUUUGUUAUUUUUCAUGCACCAUUUUUCAUGCAUUUACUGAUUAUUUUGAGCUAUAAGACCCUAAAAUUGAAAAGCAUUUCAAAUGAACUCUGAAAAGGUUGAAAGUUGGCAUGGUAUCAUCAUUUCAUCCACAUAGCAUGUGCAAGAAAGUUGAGAGGGUUACGGCAAAAACUGGAUGCACUUCAUGUACAAAAUGGACAAUCUCUUUCAAAGUAUCAGGAUUUCAUACGGAAACUCGUCUGUUACAAAGGGAUUUCAUUUUUUUAAAACUUAUUUGAACUCCUGACUUUUUGUGUGUUCAAAAUGCACCAUUCAAAGCCACAUCAUCAUUUUUCAAUCCUUUCUGACUUCAUUUGUUAUUUUUCAUGCAUUUACUAAUUAUUUUGAGCUAUAAGACCCUAAAAUUGAAAAGCAUUUCAAAUGAACCUAAAAUUGAAAAACCCUACAAAUGAACUCUUAAAAGGUUAAAAGUUGGCAUGGUAUCAUCAUUUCACCCACAUAGCACGUGCUAAAAAGUUGACAGGGUCCCGGCAAAAGCUGGAUGCACUUCGUGAACAAAAUGGACAAUCUCUUUCGAAGUAUCAGGGUUUCGGAGGAAAACUCAUCUGUUACAAAGGGAUUUUAUUUUCUUGAACUUAUUUGAACUCUAGACUUUUUGUGUGUUCAAAAUGCACCAUUCAAAGCCACAUCAUCAAUUUUCAACCCUUUUUGACUUCAUUUGUUAUUUUUCAUGCAGUGACGGAUUGUUUUGAGCUAAAUGACCCUGAAAUUGAAAAGCCCUACAAAUGAGCUCUGAAAAUGUUGAAAGUUGGCAUGGUAUAAUCAUUUCACCCACAUAGCAUGUGUUAAAAAUUUGAGAGGGUUACAGCAAAAGAUGGAUGCACUUCGUGGACAAAAUGGACAAUCUCUUUCGAAGUAUCAGGGUUUCGGACGAAAACUCAUCUGUUACAAAGGGAUUUCAUUUUCUUGAACUUAUUUGAACUCCAGACUUUUUGUGUGUUCAAAAUGAACCAUUCAAAGCAGAGACUAAUUUUGAAUGGUGCAUAUUCAACACACAAAA